UCCAGCUCCCUCGGCCAAUAAAGCAAGAUGAGCGCCGCAACCCCAGAGUUGGCCACAACUGGACCUAAUGGUCAGGGGCCCCUUUACCUUUACCACUAUAUCUGAGAAAACAAAAGAGUGGGCAGCCUUACCCUGCACCCCCCAGAAGCCCCAAGCAAUGUCUGUUUACUCUUUGCUUCCAGGAUCCCGGAGGGCGCCGAUUCCUCUCCUCGUUUUCUCGGUUCUGCAGUCUCAGAUGCGGAGAAGCUUUUCCCUGAAUUCACAGCCUGAGCUAUUGCCGGUUUCAGAAAACUGCAAUAGGUGAACAGUAUGUGAGAUGCAUUUUGGAGACGUGCACCCAGGCUUCCAUGAGGAACGAUGAAGCCCCAGCCUAGACUGAAGGAGAACCACCUCCUGCCCAGGCAACCAUGGUCUCUCUCCGGACAUUAUGGGAAAUUCGGUCGGUUUUGAAGAGCAUAAGAGCAUGAUAACAGUGGCACUUGGAAGCCAUCUUUAGACUGCAGAAGACUGGCUUUUCUACGUGGAUGGAAACGGUCUUCACAAAUCACCUGUCAGUCUUAUGCUUGGGGGUCUUUUCUCUGUGACGCCCCGAUCACUAGGAACUUGUCCCUGGUGUCAGAAGUAAGUGUGUUGACGGCAUCAUAGGUUGCUUCACCUAAGGAGAGCCUUGCAGAGAGAAACUUACCACCUGGCACCCACCAUACACUCCUUGGGCCCGGCCCCUCUAGGCAGGCAAGCUGAGCGUCAUCAUACCACUUUUCUGGUGACAGACAAAGCCACUUCCGCCUAAGGAGGUGGUGGAGUUGCGGGCUUCACGACCCCUCCACGUGCGCGGCGGGCAGAGCCAGCACCGUGUGAUUGAGGGGAUUCCCUGCCGCGUCAUCCCCUGGCCGGCCAAUCAGCUGGCUCGGGGGCGUGGCCUGCCCUAUUUAAGGCAGGACGCGGCCGGGGAUCUCCCUCUUUGCCGCCCAUCAGUGAGCCCCCCGAUUCUGAGCUGCUGCUUCCUCCCACAGGACCUGAGCGGUUACACAAGCAGCAAAAUCAGGGAAGAAAUUGUUCAGGAAGUUGGAAACCCCUGUAGCCUGCAGGCACAAUAUGGCCAACCCAAAGGCAGACGUUUUGCCUUUAUUUAUUUGGAAUCCUUGCAUCUCACUUUAUAGCUCCAAGAGGCUAUAAACUGGCUUACGAAAGAUACUCCCAGUAGUAUCAGGAACACAAAUAAUGAUAGUGCCAGGAUUAUUCCGGUGGCGUUUCGUGCCAUCUUUCUUGGUGUUGUUCUUCAACCUCAGCCUACUAGGCCUCGGGGCCUAUUGAGGACAGCGGUGGAGCUAACCUCUUGGGCACCUGGAGUGGCACACAUGCUGAUUGGGGUCCGAUCGGCGCAGUGGCGAUCCACCCGGGAGGAUUUUGUCACCCCCUCUUGGAUGACACCCGGGGUAGACCGCCCCCCCCUUCCUACACACCUGGGGGUGGGUGGGUAAGGGAUUGGGGCCAAGCAGAUGGAUCUCAUUCAGCCUAUGAAAGAGAGAAGUCUUUCUUCACAUCCUUACUAUGGCUUGGUUAUGUGUCAGUGUUUCCUUACACCCAUUAUUUGGGGAGACAUUAUUUGCAAAAGCUUGCCCUGGAAGAUCUUUGCAAUGACACUUGAAGCCAUCUUCAAACGGAGGUAUAUUGUUUUUAUGCAUAUCUUUUUAACGUUAUAAAGAAAAUUUGUUCCAA